rnacentral:rRNA from 1 species
UGGGGAAUUUUGGACAAUGGGCGCAAGCCUGAUCCAGCCAUGCCGCGUGUCUGAAGAAGGCCUUCGGGUUGUAAAGGACUUUUGUCAGGGAAGAAAAGGAUAGGGUUAAUACCCCUGUCUGAUGACGGUACCUGAAGAAUAAGCACCGGCUAACUACGUGCCAGCAGCCGCGGUAAUACGUAGGGUGCGAGCGUUAAUCGGAAUUACUGGGCGUAAAGCGGGCGCAGACGGUUACUUAAGCAGGAUGUGAAAUCCCCGGGCUCAACCUGGGAACUGCGUUCUGAACUGGGUGACUAGAGUGUGUCAGAGGGAGGUAGAAUUCCACGUGUAGCAGUGAAAUGCGUAGAGAUGUGGAGGAAUACCGAUGGCGAAGGCAGCCUCCUGGGAUAACACUGACGUUCAUGCCCGAAAGCGUGGGUAGCAAACAGGAUUAGAUACCCUGGUAGUCCACGCCCUAAACGAUGUCGAUUAGCUGUUGGGCAGCUUGACUGCUUAGUAGCGAAGCUAACGCGUGAAAUCGACCGCCUGGGGAGUACGGUCGCAAAGAUUA